UCGGUUAGUCGGCACGAGCGCACCUCAUCUUCAGUUACUAACAGGUUAAGCUGAGGACUCUGGAGAAACUGCCGUUGGAAAAGCGGAGGAAGGCGAGGAUGACGUCAAGUCCUCAUGGCCCUUAUGGGCUGGGCUACACACGUGCUACAAUGGUGAUUACAAUAAGUCGCGAAAUGGCAACAUUGAGCUAAUCUUUAAAAAUUAUCUUAGUUCAGAUUGUUCUCUGCAACUCGAGAGCAUGAAGUUGGAAUUGCUAGUAAUCGUGGAUCAGCAUGCCACGGUGAAUACGUUCCCGGGUCUUGUACACACCGCCCGUCACACCAUGGGAGUUGGUUUUACCUGAAGCCGAUUUUUAAAUCGUCCACGGUAAGGUUAGCGACUGGGGUGAAGUCGUAACAAGGUAGCCGUAGGGGAACCUGCGGCUGGAACACCUCCUUUCU
rnacentral:rRNA from 1 species